GACGAACGCUUGCGGCGUGCCUAAGAAAUGCAAGUCGAACGGGGUGCAGGAAUGCGCCUAGUGGCGAACGGUCGCGUAACACGUAAGCAACCUGCCCCGGAGUGGGGGACAACGGCCCGAAAGGGCCGCUAAUACCGCAUGUGGUCUCGGGUUCGCAUGUGCCCGUGUCCAAAGCUUUAUGCGCUCCGGGAUGGGCUUGCGGCCUAUCAGCUUGUUGGCGGGGUGACGGCCCACCAAGGCGACGACGGGUAGCUGGUCUGAGAGGACGAUCAGCCGG
rnacentral:rRNA from 1 species